rnacentral:tRNA from 1 species
UCCCUGGUGACUAAGAUGGUAAAGAAUCUGCCUGCAGUGCAGGAGACCUGAGUUCGAUCCCUGGAUAGGGAA